AGAGUUUGAUCCUGGCUCAGGAUGAACGCUGGCGGCGUGCCUAAAACAUGCAAGUCGUGCGGUAACAGGCCCUUCGGGGUGCUGACGAGCGGCGGACGGCUGAGUAACACGUGGGAAUCUACCCCGNAAGUGAGGGAUAACUGCUCGAAAGAGUAGCUAAUACCGCAUAUGGUCUAAGGAUUAAAGCUUCGGCGCUUCGGGAAGAGCCCGCGUCAGAUUAGAUAGUUGGUGAGGUAAUGGCUCACCAAGUCUACGAUCUGUAACUGGUUUGAGAGGAUGAUCAGUCAGACUGGAACUGAGACACGGUCCAGACUCCUACGGGAGGCAGCAGUUAGGAAUAUUCCACAAUGGGGGCAACCCUGAUGGAGCAACGCCGCGUGGAGGAUGAAGGCCCUCGGGUCGUAAACUUCUUUUCUAUGCGAAGAAUAUGACGGUAACAUAGGAAUAAGGGUCUGCUAACUACGUGCCAGCAGCCGCGGUCAUACGUAGGACCCAAGCGUUAUCCGGAUUGACUGGGCGUAAAGAGUUGCGUAGGUGGUUUGUUAAGCGAAUAGUGAAAUCUUGUGGCUCAACCAUAAGGCUAUUGUUCGAACUGGCAAACUCGAGAAUGGAAGAGGUAUCUGGAAUUCCCAGUGUAGGAGUGAAAUCCGUAGAUAUUGGGAGGAACACCAAUGGCGUAGGCAGGAUACUGGUCCAUUU
rnacentral:rRNA from 1 species